rnacentral:rRNA from 1 species
UACGUAGGCAGCGAGCGUUGUUCGGAGUUACUGGGCGUAAAGGGUGCGUAGGCGGUUGUUUAAGUUUGGUGUGAAAUCUCCCGGCUCAACUGGGAGGGUGCGCCGAAUACUGAAUGACUAGAGUGCGGGAGAGGAGAGUGGAAUUCCUGGUGUAGCGGUGAAAUGCGUAGAUAUCAGGAGGAACACCGGUGGCGAAGGCGGGUCUCUGGGCCGUUACUGACGCUGAGGAGCGAAAGCGUGGGGAGCAAGACGG